ACGAAGGGUGCAAACGUUGCUCGGAAUUACUGGGCGUAAAGUGUGCGCAGGCGGCCGAGCAAGUCGAGUGUGAAAGCCCCGGGCUUAACUUGGGGAUUGCGCUCGAAACUACUUGGCUGGAGUGUGGCAGAGGAAGGUGGAAUUCCACGUGUAGCGGUGAAAUGCGUAGAGAUGUGGAGGAACACCAAUGGCGAAGGCAGCCUUCUGGGCCAACACUGACGCUCAUGCACGAAAGCGUGGGGAGCAAACAGGA
rnacentral:rRNA from 1 species